CUUACACAUGCAGUCGAACGAUGAUGCCCAGCUUGCUGGGCGGAUUAGUGGCGAACGGGUGAGUAACACGUGAGUAACCUGCCCUUGACUUCGGGAUAACUCCGGGAAACCGGGGCUAAUACCGGAUAUGAGCCGCCUUCGCAUGGGGGUGGUUGGAAAGUUUUUCGGUCAGGGAUGGGCUCGCGGCCUAUCAGCUUGUUGGUGGGGUGAUGGCCUACCAAGGCGACGACGGGUAGCCGGCCUGAGAGGGCGACCGGCCACACUGGGACUGAGACACGGCCCAGACUCCUACGGGAGGCAGCAGUGGGGAAUAUUGCACAAUGGGCGAAAGCCUGAUGCAGCGACGCCGCGUGAGGGAUGAAGGCCUUCGGGUUGUAAACCUCUUUCAGCAGGGAAGAAGCGCAAGUGACGGUACCUGCAGAAGAAGCGCCGGCUAACUACGUGCCAGCAGCCGCGGUAAUACGUAGGGCGCAAGCGUUGUCCGGAAUUAUUGGGCGUAAAGAGCUCGUAGGCGGUUUGUCGCGUCUGGUGUGAAAACUCGAGGCUCAACCUCGAGCUUGCAUCGGGUACGGGCAGACUAGAGUGCGGUAGGGGAGACUGGAAUUCCUGGUGUAGCGGUGGAAUGCGCAGAUAUCAGGAGGAACACCGAUGGCGAAGGCAGGUCUCUGGGCCGCAACUGACGCUGAGGAGCGAAAGCAUGGGGAGCGAACAGGAUUAGAUACCCUGGUAGUCCAUGCCGUAAACGUUGGGCACUAGGUGUGGGGCUCAUUCCACGAGUUCCGUGCCGCAGCAAACGCAUUAAGUGCCCCGCCUGGGGAGUACGGCCGCAAGGCUAAAACUCAGAGGAAUUGACGGGGGCCCGCACAAGCGGCGGAGCAUGCGGAUUAAUUCGAUGCAACGCGAAGAACCUUACCAAGGCUUGACAUGCACGAGAAGCCACCAGAGAUGGUGGUCUCUUUGGACACUCGUGCACAGGUGGUGCAUGGUUGUCGUCAGCUCGUGUCGCGAGACGUUGGGUUAAGUCCCGCAACGAGCGCAACCCUAGUCCNAUGUUGCCAGCGGGUUAUGCCGGGAACUCAUGGAAGACUGCCGGG
rnacentral:rRNA from 1 species